rnacentral:lncRNA from 1 species
CUCUGUUUUUAUUCCCAAGGUUCAGAAGUAAAUUACCACAAAAAUGCAGAUGGAACCUGUAAUACUGGCCUCCACAUCAUUCAUCUGGUGGUUUGGGAGCCGCAGAUCAGCAUGUGAAAGACAGCAGUUAAAAUACAGGACCUGUUCCUAUCUCCUCUGCUCUGUGCUGGUGUAAAUCAAGACUAAGACUCGUGAACCCAAUGGAGUGUAAAAUUGGUACCCAUCGCCUGUCCUGGUGGCCGUGUGCCUCAGCUGAGAUGCUGCUCGGAGGACGCAGAGCGCUGGAGCAGAGCUGCCCUGCCCACCUGGAGCCUACACGUGGGAAUGCAAAUGAGCAUUUAGUCAUCUAAUGCUAUAACGUUGCAAGGAGUCAGGGCACGCAGGCAGUAGCACUUAGCUCGUCCUGG